GUUUUGCAGCUGCUUGGAAGUCAAGCCAAAUGCGUCGCAUAACCUGCUUGGGUGGCUGGAAGUUCAGUCUCAUGUCUUCCUCCGUGGCUGAGGGACACCCGUGCUCCAGCAGCAGUGACCGAGUCCAGCAGGUGUUUAAAGGCAGGUGGUCGGCCGCAAAGCCAUGGGCGGUGCUAUGGUCUGGCCCUCAGUCCCAGAAAAACCCGCACAGAAAUACGGGGUUUUGUGGGGACGAGGCAAGUCAGCUUAUCUAGGGGGAUCUGCUGCAGCAGUGACCCUCUUGGCCCCUUUAUGCAAGCAGAGUGGUGGACAGAUGCCCCCAGGGGUUCGGGGCUCCCCAAGCCCCCAGACUCCCGCCCUCUCUACUUUCAAAGGAAAUCCAAGCUCGUCCUGCCUGCAGAACUCCCCUGCGUCCGAAGAGGCGGCAGAUGUGGACUCGUAUUGCUGCAAGGGGCCGAGGAGCACUUUAGAGAUUCGGGUGACGUGCAGGCGGAGACAAGCUCAGCGUGGAGAUGGUACAGCCCUUCCCUGAUUGGCCGCGGCAGCUGGUCUUCCAGAGAGGCAAACACAGAUGCUUGCUUCUCUGAUCAUGGUAACGCAGGAGCAGGGAGCUUCAGGAUGAGGGGCGCCUGGGGGCCACAUUCGGGCCUCCUGGACUCUUCAGGUGACCCUGGCCUGGUCCUUUUGCCUUCCGUUCUGCUCAUCCCCGGAAAUGGAAGUCAGCCUUCAGCCUGAAAGAAGCACCGCACUCCUGGGCAGGGAACAUGGUGGCCGACAGAGCUAACCAAUAGUUACCUGGCCCAAAAGGGUUGUUCAGUUGGAUCAGCGCUGGACUGGUCUCCUGGUUUCCAGGCCGGCCAAGCGACUCCAGAGAGCAAGACAGAGAGGCACACGCCCUCCUUGCUACCCCUGAUCAGCGCUUUGGAGAAGGCCAGACACCUGCGCUAAGGCGGCCCAUGGCAAACGGAACUAGAACCCAAACGGAUCUUCCCAUGAAGGCAGCCGGUGGGAGAUCUGGGACAGAGAAAAAGAAGGACCUUCACACCACACGUUCAGCAUGGAGUGGUGGUGAACAAUUUGGACUACUUUAAGAAGGGAGCGGACAGAUUCCCGGAGAACGUUAUCCAUGGCUCAGGAGGCUCAGCGCUCAGGAAAAGAGGAGGUACGCUUGGGUCCCCACUUGCUGGGGAGCAUGGGUGGGAAGGAGCUGGGGUUCUCCAGUCCUGCUGGUGGACUCUCCAUGGAGUCGAUUGUCCGCUGCAUGAGCGGAACUCUGGACCUGAUGUGGCUCCAGUCAUGUUCUUAUAAGGGGAGCAAAUAUUUCCAUGACUUUGUCUCCAUGAUAAAAGGAGUAGAAAUUGCCCAGAGAGCCAUGGGAAGUGUGUGUGUGUGUGUGUGUGUGUGAGAGAGAGAGAGAGAGAGAGAGAGCGCGCGCGCGCGCGCACGUGCGCGCGCUUUGGUCAGGUGGGCAAGGAAGGAAACUUCGGCCACUACCGAGCCUUCUAAAAAAUACAAGCUCCAUUUUCAAAUGAAAACUGUCAUUUUUAACCACUCCCACCAUUGCGAAAUGAAGAUUUAGGAGCAGAGAAUCUGCUCCAAGUCAGGUCCCCAGAUCUAUUUCACUUUAUAUGAAUCACCCACCUUCUUGGGCGAGAGAGGCCCAAAGAUUAACAAGGAUCAGAAAAGAGACGAGUGUCUUCAUCUUAUCCACUUACACGAUGAAUGGCAGAUGGAUGGGCGCACAAACAGACUCUGGUCGGACCCUCCAAGAACGUCCCGUGUUCUUGACUGACGCUUCAGAUCUCACGCAGCUAUAUCCCAGAACCGCAAAGGGGUGGGGGAAGAUGGUUCUGGUGUCGACUUGCCUCAUGUGAAACCUCCCAGGAUGAAGAGGUCAUCAGCUUGAAGCUGCUGUUUGGUAACAUUCUCAAGAGAUUGAGCAAGAGAGAAAGAACAAAAACGCUAAGAACAAGAGAGUGCCGGAUUCUCCAGCUUGCAACACCGCAGAGCAGGAAUCCAUCCUAUCGAGCGUUUAUGUCAUUAGAAGAUAGAAAACAACAGAAUAAAGAUCAUAUUUAAGGAAUACCUUAUUUUUAUCCCAUAUGAUUCCAUAAACCGCAGAAUUGUGUGAAGCAGAGAUCUCAUGAACGAAGAUGACAGACUGGGAUCUUGGGAUCUCCGUUUUUGUCUCACCCGGCCCUCCUUUUGGUUGGCUCGUUAGGUUCUCCCACCAAUCGGCACACUGCUCUGUAGGCCCGUAGGAAAACAGCUUAUUUUCUGAAUUGAGAGAUCCUGGCUUGUUGCACCAAAAGAAGCCAGUCUUUAUAAACCAAGGUCAAAUCCUGGUUUGUUGCUCCAAAUAGCAUUGGUAAGCCAACUCCAAGGGUUGAGGUCUUAAUGAUGCACAAGAUUUUUGAACAGAUCUUUCAGCAUAAUCUAGGAACCAAUAAAUGCGUGGAUAUUUUUGCGGCCUUGGUUGAAAUCCAUGCAUGGCUAUUCUUAAGCUUAGUGGUAUAUGUGGCUGCAGAGAAAUGAAUAACUCUCAAUGCACUGAUAUGUUGUAAUAGAUUCAUUCCAGUUUCAUGUAAGAAACUGUUGCACGUUGCUUCAUUUUAUUUCUGUGUUUAUUUUGUUUUGGGGUUUGCUUUGAUUUUUGGAAACUUGCAAUAACAAAUUAGAAGUCAGCAAGGGCUGGCCAUAAUUUAAUUCCUAGUGGCCGUCUUCAGCGCAGAUGUGGAUGCAGUCCAACAUCUGGUGGGCCACAUGUGACCCACUGACCCUGAAUCUCAAGCAGAGGCGAAUCUGUCCCCAUCCCGCGUUGGGGGAGCCUCCAUUGCACAAAAAAUAGGCUUGAUUACAGCUCUGUCUAUUGACUCCUUUCCUCUUUCGUACUGGAUUCCACCCCCUCUGGAGGGACUGGUCUCACACCCUCGGCCUCCGUAGGAAAAGAUAACCGACCCUCUUGUAUGGGCAUUUUCUCUGUAUUCAGAAGCAUAUGUGGAAACCAAACCAAACACACUGCUCUGGCAAAUGUGUGUGUGUGUGUUUUCUUUUUUGCCAGGGUUUUUCAGUAAGUAUUUAAAUAUGUAUUGAAAAAUCUUUAUUAAUGUCAUAUCAAUCAAAGCGUUUUAUAUAUUAUAUUGUUUCGGCUGUCUUGCAUGUCAUAAAAAUAAUUUGAAAUAGACAAAGAACACAGAAAAGAAAUAUAUAUCAAGUUUUCAGUUAUGAAGACGUCCAAAGUAGCUCACACAGAAAUAGUCUUUAAAACCUGUACAUAUUUUUUCAAAAAUAUUGUAACAUAGUAAUAGUCUAAGCGUGCAUAGAAUUGCACCAGCGGCCUCUUCCUUUUUUUAAAACCACCUCCUGUA